CGGAUGGGGAGAGGACAGAGCACAGGGGCACGGGGCUUUUCUGCCCGCUGCCAGCCCGCGGCCACACGCACACGGUGGCUGGGCACGUGCCCCUCUAAUCGAGGGUGGGUGCCUCCUGCUGCAGGUGUGCCCUGCCCCUGGGCCGGCUGGGGCUGCAGGCAUGGAGGCAGAGCAUCCUCGGCGGAGGCCUCGUGCGCCGUGGCAGAAAUCCGAUAGCCUACAGCUGCACGUCUUUUAAUUGCUCCUUGAGUAAACGCCCGGAGCCUGGGGGCUCGCUCCCAAUAAGUCCGGAUUUUCUCCACUUAGUGAAUCUCAUCCCAAUGGUCUCUUCUAAAGCUCACGAUUUCCACCCGUGGAGCCACAGCCUGCUGAAGACACUUUGGUAUGACACGAUGCAUCAUAUCAUGAGGAAUAAUAAAUGAACAUCAUUGUGCUCAGAUUACACAGCUUGAGCUGAAAGAUCAGGCCGUGAGGUCGAGAGAAUCUCUCAGCCAAGACAAAUGACCCGAGGCGAGGAGGGCAGGCCGUGGUUUUACCGCCCGCCGCCUCCUGGCCUGGA